rnacentral:rRNA from 1 species
GACGAACGCUGGCGGCGCGCCUAAUACAUGCAAGUUGAGCGCUGAAGGUUGGUACUUGUACCAACUGGAUGAGCAGCGAACGGGUGAGUAACGCGUGGGGAAUCUGCCUUUGAGCGGGGGACAACAUUUGGAAACGAAUGCUAAUACCGCAUAAAAACUUUAAACACAAGUUUUAAGUUUGAAAGAUGCAAUUGCAUCACUCAAAGAUGAUCCCGCGUUGUAUAGCUAGUUGGUGAGGUAAAGGCUCACUAAGGCGAUGAUACAUAGCCGACCUGAGAGGGUGAUCGGCCACAUUGGGACUGAGACACGGCCCAAACUCCUACGGGAGGCAGCAGUAGGGAAUCUUCGGCAAUGGACGAAAGUCUGACCGAGCAACGCCGCGUGAGUGAAGAAGGUUGUCGGAUCGUAAAACUCUGUUGGUAGAGAAGAACGUUGGUGAGAGUGGAAAGCUCAUCAAGUGACGGUAACUACCCAGAAAGGGACGGCUAACUACGUG